GAUGAACGCUAGCGGCAGGCCUAAUACAUGCAAGUCGAACGGUGUCUUCGGACAUAGUGGCGCACGGGUGCGUAACACGUAUGCAACCUACCUUACAUUGGGGGAUAGCCUUUCGAAAGGGAGAUUAAUACCGCAUAAGACAGUAGCUGGGCAUCCAGCAGCUGUUAAAGAUUUAUCGAUGUAAGCUGGGCAUGCGUCCAAUUAGCUAGUUGGUGAGGUAACGGCUCACCAAGGCAAUGAUUGGUAGGGGAACUGAGAGGUCAAUCCCCCACACGGUCACUGAGAUACGGGCCAGACUCCUACGGGAGGCAGCAGUAGGGAAUAUUGGGCAAUGGACGCAAGUCUGACCCAGCCAUGCCGCGUGCAGGAUGAAGGCGUUAUGCGUUGUAAACUGCUUUUAUACAGGAGGAAACGACUCUUGCGAGAGGCAUUGACGGUACUGUAUGAAUAAGCACCGGCUAACUCCGUGCCAGCAGCCGCCGUAAGAC
rnacentral:rRNA from 1 species